CCUACACCACACCCAAAGCUAUAAUUAAAGCAGUUGUUAAGAGUUCUCAACCAACACACCACUGAAAAUACAAGUCUGUAUAAACCCGGAACAGCAUACAUUACUCUAAAAAUAUUUUAUUUGCAAUUUUGCACCUUGUAAUGAUGAAAACGUGAUAAACUACCAAAACCAUUUCAUUGAUAUGCAUGCAUAAAUUUAUGUCACACUGCUACUACGGUCAAAACAAUGCCCUUGCCAUCUCCUUUCUAUUUCGGUAAAUUAUCUCAACUCUCAAGCUUGGUCAUCAUAUAUCUGAUCAAUUUUAGUAGAAACCUUUCUGAUUCGUCUUUUCACCAUUAACAAAACUUGACAAAAGCACUGCAUUGUGAAUAUAGAACAUAGUUUUUGACUACUAGAUUAAAACCAAACCAAGCCGUCUUAAGUUAAAAGAACAGACUAAUUCAUACUACAACAUCAAAAUAUGAAUCAGCUUUUCUUAGAUGAACAAACUUAGAGAAAAUGGAACAAACACAUAAAAGACUUGAUUUGUCCACACCUUACUAGUUAAGUGAAGUCUACUACCAAAUUUAUUCAUAGUGGCAAAGCAGCUCGUUAAGAAGUGAGAUUACCUUCAAUCACCUGAUAACGCAUAAAAUAACCUCUCCCAUCCGUCACGGUUUCCCCAAAUACUUUCCCAGUCUUCUCACCCUUAAGAAUGCAUUUGUUUCCACUAGUUAUCAUCAUGUAGCCUAAUUGUUCCAGCUGACCAAGACUCAACACGUUUCUGUAGAGAUCCGGAACGAAAAGCACAUUCUUGAUCGUCUUCUUCUUCCCUUCUUUCGUCAG
rnacentral:lncRNA from 1 species